rnacentral:lncRNA from 1 species
GGUCCUUCCUGGUGGUAUGAAGGUUUUGUCUGUGCCCCCAAGUGGUCAUGACAAUUGAAACUGGAAUUUACAUUUUAAACAGCCUUAGCACGUUUGCUUUAAAUUUAGCGAUAGAAAAGUGAGUGGGUUGCUUUUCGUUUGUUUAGUUUUUCUUCUGAAGCACAGCAAAACCUCUUCCAGAUGGAAGGAGUCUCUUAUGGAUAAAUUCCAAGUGUAACCUUUCGCAGGGUCUCCUCUUGCUUGGCUAUAACUGACAAAAGUCUGUUCACUCUAACUAUUUGGACAAGAAACACGAUGCUUUUAUUUAAAAUGGUAAUGCUUUCUCUGUAGUUGUAUCUUCCAAAAGAUAGCAACAAAACUGUGUCCUGAUGUUUUUGUUGUCUUGGAUCUUUUUUUUAAUGUAGAGAGGCUGUCCAUAAUUUCUUAAUACUGGGAACAUCAUUCUGAAUGACAGAGGAAAUGGUCAGUACCUUGAAUUAUUUUAUUGUAUCAUUUUCAACUUUUUCUUUCUUCCUCCAGUGUGGCCUGCACAUUUACUUCUAUUUUUGUGCACAUGUGAUCUCCUGAGUGGGAAAGCGUGCAAAACCUUGAUUUUCUGUCAUAAGAGUGUCAGGGUUUCUUGUUCAUUUAGCCCAGCCCUCUCAUUGAUAGUCUAGUGGAGUCUUAACGGUUUGCAAGGUUCUGGGUUUUUUUUUUAAGCUGUUGGUGUAUUGUUCGGUUUGGUUUAUGUACAUGCAGCUUGACUGUUUAACCCAGAUUUUUAAAAAUAAAAUGUUAAUGUAUAUUUUAUGUCUGUUUUAUUAAAAUAACUGAGUCAUUUUAACUUA